rnacentral:rRNA from 1 species
AUUGAACGCUGGCGGCAGGCCUAACACAUGCAAGUCGAACGAGUGGCGGACGGGUGAGUAAUGUCUGGGAAACUGCCUGAUGGAGGGGGAUAACUACUGGAAAAGGUAGAUACUACCGCAUACUACCAGAUGUGCCAAGAUGGGAUUAGCUAGUUGGUGGGGUAACGGCUCACCAAGGCGAAGAUCCCUAGCUGGUCUGAGAGGAUGACCAGCCACACUGGGACUGAGACACGGUCCAGACUCCUACGGGAGGCAGCAGUGGGGAAUAUUGCACAAGGGGCGCAAGCCUGAUGCAGCCAUGCCGCGUGUGUGAAGAAGGCCUUCGGGUUGUAAAGUACUUUCAGCGGGGAGGCGUUACCCGCAGAAGAAGCACCGGCUAACUCCGUGCCAGCAGCCGCGGUAAUAC